rnacentral:misc_RNA from 1 species
GAAAUGCGAUAAGUAAUGUGAAUUGCAGAAUUCAGUGAAUCAUCGAGUUUUUGAACGCACACUGCGCCCCUUGGUAUUCCGGGGGGCAUGCCCGUUCGAGCGUCAUUUCACCAAUCAAGCCUGGCUUGGUAUUGGGCCCCGGGGGCGACCCGGGCCUCAAAGUCGUCGGCUGCGCAAUCUCAAUCUCAGCGUCGUGGAAACAUUCGCGAAGGGAGAGGUGAUGCACGCCGUUAAACCCAUCAAAGGUUGACCUCGGAUCGGGUAGGAAUACCCGCUGAACUUAA